rnacentral:lncRNA from 1 species
AUGAAUGUGUAGGACCUAGACUUGCCACAUUUGGUUUGUGAAUUCCUCAAGGGCAGGUUCUAUGAUUUUGUCUUUAAGUGUUCAUCAAAUUACUUAGUUCAUCACCCUUAUUGUCAUUAAUAAAAUAACUCUCAGCUGCUUUGAAACAUGGCUUCUGCUUCCAAUGGUGACUACUGUCUGAUACCAAGCAACCUCUCCAUGGACCUGGAACCAACUCUUCCAGAUUAUUUCUACCAGCAGCGAGAUAGCUGAGCCAUGGCAAUGCGCACAAGCUAUCAUGGGCCCAGAAUAUGAUGCUACACCAACAAAAGAAAGAACCUGAUGUCAUCUAGUCCGAUACCAACUGUCCAGAGAAGUGUUGGGAUAUGUGUCUCACUGAAGGCCACACAGCCAUUAGGGGCAGUCAGAUCUCCUGGCAUCUGGGCCAGAAAAUAUCCUGAGCACUUCAAACAUCUUAACAAGAACAAGCUGACUAUUCAUAACCAGGAUCAAGUAAGAUCCCUGGAGAGAUGCCCUUUCAACCCUCCAUCUCUGCUAAAUGCCUGUUGGAUCCCAGCAGUGGAGCCUGCUAGAUGGUUGGAUUUACUUAGAACAGACUAUUAUGAAGGUCUGUUAGGGUUGGUGAAAAGAAUUCUAGACAAAUCUUCCAGGUUAGAAGAUAAAUGACAGUUCUUCCCAAAGGUAUUCUCAUGAGAAAGCACAGCAACCAUCCUACAGAGGGUUAAUAGUCUCCCCCCUCUCCAACCCCCAACUUGCUGUCAGAGAUCAGCUAAUCUGAUAAUUACGGCAACAAACACAGUUUAGACAAACAAGACCUGACCCUGAGGGUUUGGAAUGAAAACAUUUACUCUCUCCCUCCCCAGAGAGACGGUGCCUGGAGCAUACACACAGAGAGACACUGGGAAAAUACCCUUGUGCUGGAGCAACAGGGUGAAAACAUCUGUGUUCCUGAGCUGCUUAGGAAGAUAAAGUUGCUGGGGAGGCAGCUCGGGUCCGGGAGGCAGGAGGAGCGGGGAGUGGUGCAGUCCAAGGGUGUGCAUGUUUGGAGCAGAUGGAAAAUGUACCCCCAUAACUGGAGAUGUAAGCAAAUUGUAAUUGAUUUUACAACAGAGACAGAGUGAGAGGAAAGGUACAAAGGAGACCGAUGCAGGAUUUGAGUGAAAACCUGGGGAGUGGCUAACAGAAGAGAAACAGCUUAAAACACCAAAGUAGGAUUUAUUCCCGAGAGCAAGAGGUAUUCACAGCGGUCUUGAUUCUAAGUGAAUUUAAUAUCUGCCUGCCAGUGAGGAGACCCAAGCUCUAAAAGUCUAAGCUGGCCAGUCAUCCUCUUCCCAUCCCCUAGUUUGGCUUCUAAACUGAACAACAUGCCCUUUCCCCAUCCCUGCCAGGCCUCAAAAAUUAUCAAGCAAUUUUUUCCCCUUUUACUUAUAAAAGCAGCUUCCUAGAAGAAAUCUUUCUGGGUUGCUGAAACCAGAGAUUCUGACUUGGAUCUGCCUCAACCUGGAAUUCCAACAGUUACUCCUUUCCCAACUCCAGCCUGAAGUUUCCCACACAUCCCCGUCCUAGCGGCCACACAUCAUUUCGGUUUUGCCCAUGACUGAGGGUGAGUCAGCCGGCAAACACUCCUCGCCCCUUAGGAUUCUCCAAAUUAGAUCUAGGCAUCCACAUCCUUGGGGCAUUUGCAGAUCACAUGUAUGGAUGCACCAAGCUAAGAGGAUAACUGCUGUGAUUGAUGAUAGGAUCAAGAUUUUAAAUGAAUUCCAUAAGCUGAAAGAUGGUCUCAAAUCAAUAAGAAUGCACCAGGAAAAAAUGCAAAGCACUGCAUUUAGACCCAACAAUCAAUUGCACAAAUAUAGGAUGGAAAAUAAAAUAUAGACCUAGAAAACA